CUUGUAGUACUGGGACUCUAACCAUAGGCCAUGAAUCUGGUCUUGGGACACUGUCAGGUGGGCAGUUUGACUGGGGCGGUCGCCUCCCAAAAGGGAACGGAGGCGCUCAAAGGUUCUCUCAGUACGGUCGGAAAUCGUACGUAGAGUGUAAAGGCAAAAGAGAGCUUGAUUGCAAGACAUACAGGUCGAGCAAGGAUGAAAAUCGGACUUAGUGAU
rnacentral:rRNA from 1 species